CUCCAGUUGAUCGCAUGGUCUUCUGGGAAAGCUUUCGCGGUAUGGGAUGGGGUCGCGUCCUAUCAGCUUGACGGCGGGGUAACGGCCCACCGUGGCUUCGACGGGUAGCCGGCCUGAGAGGGCGACCGGCCACAUUGGGACUGAGAUACGGCCCAGACUCCUACGGGAGGCAGCAGUGGGGAAUAUUGCACAAUGGGCGCAAGCCUGAUGCAGCGACGCCGCGUGAGGGAUGGAGGCCUUCGGGUUGUAAACCUCUUUUAUCGGGGAGCAAGCGAGAGUGAGUUUACCCGUUGAAUAAGCACCGGCUAACUACGUGCCAGCAGCCGCGGUAAUACGUAGGGUGCAAGCGUUAUCCGGAAUUAUUGGGCGUAAAGGGCUCGUAGGCGGUUCGUCGCGUCCGGUGUGAAAGUCCAUCGCUUAACGGUGGAUCGUCGCCGGGUACGGGCGGG
rnacentral:rRNA from 1 species